rnacentral:tRNA from 1 species
GCGUGAGUGGCGAAGUUGGUUGAAACGCAUCGGACUUAAAAUCCGAUACUGCAUAAUGGCACAUCGUGGGUUCGAUUCCCACCUCACGCA